CGGUGAAGUGUUCGGAUCGCGGCGACGUGGGCGGUCCGCCGCCGCCGACGUCGCGAGAAGUCCACUGAACCUUAUCAUUUAGAGGAAGGAGAAGUCG
rnacentral:rRNA from 1 species